CAUUGCGACACCACCAAUCUUAUUCUACAUAUUUCUAUCUUAUAUAGAACAACUAGCAUAGCUCUCGUUGCCCAGCCAGGUUGCCCAGCCAGGUUGCCUGGUGCACAAUGAGAGCUGGCUAGGGCGGACUCAUUCUGCUGUUGGUGCCCAACGAUGCUAGCUGCUACUCAUACUAGUGAAGCCUGCCAUGGUUCUGAGAAAUUUUUGGAUACUCCGCUGCGUAGAUAUGCACUAAAAGCUUGUAUGUUUCGCUGACUACAUACUAUGGAUAUCACCUGUUUGACAAGAGAAGGAUUACAUACCACGAUGAAGAUGAAUUGGAACAUGAUGCAAGUGAUGUAGCGCCCCAUAUAGGAGUCACUCAGGAAAGCACAGAAGAGGGAGAAGAUGUAGACGGUGCCCAUCCACAUGCUGACGCUAUUGGCGGCCUCGGCGUUCUCCUGGUGGAGCACCUGCCUGAGGAACACCACCAGGCCCACGGCGACGCCAAAAAAUGCAAAGUUGGCCAACACAUAGCUCACUGCAUCGUCAAGUAGAGCUGCUUAAUCACUGAGGUAUAUACAUUUAGUUCGCCUUCUUCAGCGUUGCCAUGGACCUGGUGAUGUUCUUCCGGCGGGUGCCCCACCAAGAGAACGCCGUGGCCACCAACAACAUCAGCAUAUGGAUGGGCACCAUCUUCAUCUUUGCCCUCUUUAGUGCUUUCCGUAGUGAUUCCUAUACGGGGUGCUACUUCACUUGGAUCAUGUUACAAUUUAUCUUCAUCGUGAUAUAUGCUCCUUCUGUUCUCACAUAGGUGAUAUCUUAAAAUGUAUGAGGCAUAUAUACUUUCUACCUAAUAUUAUAAAGUAUAUGCCUCUAUAUAGAUCAAAUAAAGCAGAAAAGUCAUUGUUAUUACCAAUCGUGUACUUUUGUUCUAAACAUCUCAACUAGUUUAAAGUAUUUGUCUCUCUUGA